GAGUGAGCUCUUCUCUCCCAGGGGCAGUCUCAAUGACAGCCAAUGGCAUCAUGUCAGCAUCGUACGCCGUGAGGCGAAUCUCACUAUGAAGGUGGAUGACAGCACAGUGAAAAAGCGACUGCCGGGCAGGUUCUUUGAACUGAACAUACAUUUCGGUGUGUUCCUUGGCGGCCAGGGGACUUCUCUGAAUUGUUUUGGGUCAUAUGGAAAACUUCCGCGGGUGUAUGGAAGAUGUUUACUAUAAUUCGGUAAAAAUAAUAGAGAAGGCUCGGUCGCGCGCCGGCUCGGUGCACGUGGAAGGAGUGACCUGGAACUGCGCCCCGGAAUUCGACGCUGAUAGUAACACCGACAUAAGUUUUGUUGAUGAAGGUGCUUACUUGAUUCUGCCCAGGAUUAACUCCAGAGCUGGCGGAAGAUGGCAAAUAGAAUUCAAGACGAUAGCACAAAACGCGGUGAUACUAUACAACGCCGGAGGGGGCCGUUCGGACUUUCUAGCCGUCGAAAUAUUGGAGGGAGUAAUCCGAGUGAAAAUGGCCCGAGGACAGAUCGUGCACACGCUGCGAGUGAACGACGGACAAUGGCACAAACUGCACUUGCUCUUUAAUCCGUCUUUGAUUGAGCUAUCAGUUGAUAACGUGGCGAUGAGCACGCGCAUCGAAAGCGGCGGCACUAGGUACCUCGAAUUGUCUGAUUCUUUCUAUCUCGGCGGCAUUGAGAGCGAGAAGAGGCAGAGGGCUUUUGCUAAAGGGAUUAAAGCUGCCGACUCUAGUAUAAUGGGAUGCAUAAAACCUAUAGAGGUUGACGACAAGAUCUUUGGAUUACCCAACGCCGUGGUAACAUACGGUGUGAGUCCAAAAUGUGUGUGGUGGUAUCCGUGUCAUGCCAGCCCUGGGAAUCCCCCGUGCGUACCUCAAGCGGUGUGCGCCCAACACGGUGUCGACCACUUCACUUGCAAAUGUGAUACCGACUUGUGUAUCAACCCGGACUACAGCGAGAAAUAUAAGGUAUUCUCAAAAUCAAGCAGCGAGUUGGAGUUGGUAGCGUUGUAUCCCUUAACGGUACAAGAAGGUGGGGUUGCUGUGAUUACUACACAGAACAUUGACGUGGUGUUAGACCAUCAUAAGUAUGGCGUCCGGCCGUCUGGAGUGGUCUUGCAUGUGACUCAGUCCCCUCAGCAUGGACGCAUAGCAGUUGACCUGUCGCUGCAGAGAAACUCACCACAAUACAACUAUAUUGAAGGAGAGGGGAAAUCCAAGCAGUUCUUUACGUUGCUGGAUCUGUCUAGGGAUAAGGUACGUUAUGUCCACGACGGGUCAGAAAACCACCACGACGCCAUAGUCCUCGACAUGGAGCUGAUUCAAGAGACAAAGUUCACACUACCGAGCUACCUCCAAGGUCGGAACACCUUCGUACUCCACGUAAAUGUGACGCCUGUGAAUGACCCACCUGUGCUGAAUCUGUUGCCAGGGAAAGUUCUGAGGCUCACUCAGAGUGUUGCCAGCGCUUGAUUUAAUUUAAUCUUGCUUUUGUGUAGUUGCAUGACGUAUUGUAUGACAGAUUGAACCCACAACAAGUACGCGAUUAACAUUUAAAUACCGAGCGGUACACGUAAAGUGAUCACCUCGGAUAUACUGAGGGCAGAAGAUCCCGACACGCUACCCGAGGACCUGUUGUAUACAGUGUUGCACGGAAAGAACGAAAUCAAUAG